UGAUCAGUGCUAUAUAUGGACGCAGCAAUCGGAUGACGUGCUCCGUUGGGAUACCUGCAGAGCAGACGAAGAACACUAAUUGUGCUACGAGGGCAGAAUCCGUGUUUCAGAAAUGCGAGGGGAACUCAAAGUGCAAUAUCUUAGCCAGCAGCUCUGUGCUCGGAGAUCCCUGUGUUGGGACCUACAAGUACCUGGAUGUGAUAUAUCUAUGUUAAAUUCCAUCUGCAACUGAAUGAAGCGACGAUCAGAUCUGCUGUGCUGAGGAUGAAAUGCAUCAUAAUCAGUAACAUCUACAGACGUUGUGAUCCACUGAUGUGCAGCUUCAUCUGUCUUCAGUUUCUUUUUAUGUUUACUUAGCAUUUUAUUUGUUUUUCUUCUCCAAUCUUCAUCUUUUUUUGCUUCUAUUUCAACUUUCCUCAAUAAACCUGACUUGCAUUUACA